AAUGUUUUUGAAAUUAGUUGAUAUAGUUGUUCUGAAAAUGGUUCCAACCAACGUUUUUGAAUUGAUUGAAACCAUUGUUCAUAAAUUAUUUGAAAUCGUUGUUUCUCAAAGGGUCUCAACCAAUGUUCCUGAAAUGGUUGAGACCAACGUUCCAGAAAUGGUUUUGAAGAAUUGUUUAACAAAUAUGAAAAAUAUUUCAUCAAACAACAUCUCUAACAAGCAUUUCUUCGAACAUCUUUCGAGCUUCGGGCAUUCGGGAGAGGAAGAAGCAGCUACGGAGAAGGUGAAUGUGUAAUUAUCUGCAACGAGAUAUCAGCUUUAUUGCUGUCGAUCUCCUAUUCGAUUUCGAACCACCGCAUCCCAUUCCUAUUCUCCGUCGAAAAUCACUUUCUUGCUUACGGAAUCCACUCCUCUUCUUCUUCCCGGCAGACUAGUGAUUUUCGAAUGGAUGGGUGGCC
rnacentral:lncRNA from 1 species